GCAGCAGCCAAAUUUGGAGCCAAAAUAGUACCCUUUUGUGGAGUUGGGGAAGAUGAUUUUUUAAAAGUGGUUGUAGAUUACAAUGACCAGGUAAAGGUUCCGAUGGUGAAAGAAGUGCUAAAAAGAGUGUCAGCGGAAGGCCCGGAGGUGAGGGGAAGCGUGGAAGGAGAAGAGGGGAACCAAGACUUCCACAUGC